GGAUAAUCUGCCCUCAGGUGAGGAAUAAUCCCGGGAAACUGGGGCUAAUGCCUCAUAGGAGACGGGUGCUGGAAUGCUCUGUCUCCGAAAGGUCCGCCGCCUGAGGAUGAGUCUGCGUCCGAUUAGGUUGUUGUUGGGGUAACGGCCCAACAAGCCUUUGAUCGGUACGGGUUGUGGGAGCAAGAGCCCGGAGAUGGAUUCUGAGACAUGAAUCCAGGCCCUACGGGGCGCAGCAGGCGCGAAAACUUUACAAUGCGAGCAAUCGUGGUAAGGAAACCCUGAGUGCCUGUCAAUGCAGGCUGUUCUGGUGUCUAACACACACCAGGAGAAAGGGCGGGGCAAGACCGGUGCCAGCCGCCGCGGUAAUACCGGCUGCUCGAGUGAUAGCCACUUUUACUGGGCUUAAAGCGUUCGUAGCUUGGUCGUUAAGUCUCUGGGGAAAUCUUUUGGCUCAACCAAAAGGCGUCUCAGGGAAACUGACGAUCUUGGAACCGGGAGAGGUAAGACGUACUUCGGGGGUAGGAGUGAAAUCUUGUAAUCCCCGAGGGACGACCGAUGGCGAAGGCAUCUUACCAGAACGGCUUCGACAGUGAGGGACGAAAGCUGGGGGAGCAAACCGGAUUAGAUACCCGGGUAGUCCCAGCCGUAAACGAUGUGCGUUAGGUGUGUCAGUGACCACGAGUCGCUGAGGUGCCGAAGGGAAACCGUGAAACGCACCGCCUGGGAAGUACGGUCGCAAGGCUGAAACU
rnacentral:rRNA from 1 species